rnacentral:rRNA from 1 species
UGGGGAAUUUUGGACAAUGGGCGCAAGCCUGAUCCAGCCAUGCCGCGUGCGGGAAGAAGGCCUUCGGGUUGUAAACCGCUUUUGUCAGGGAAGAAAUCUUCUGAGUUAAUACCUCGGGAGGAUGACGGUACCUGAAGAAUAAGCACCGGCUAACUACGUGCCAGCAGCCGCGGUAAUACGUAGGGUGCAAGCGUUAAUCGGAAUUACUGGGCGUAAAGCGUGCGCAGGCGGUUUUGUAAGACAGAGGUGAAAUCCCCGGGCUCAACCUGGGAACUGCCUUUGUGACUGCAAGGCUUGAGUGCGGCAGAGGGGGCAUGGAAUUCCGCGUGUAGCAGUGAAAUGCGUAGAUAUGCGGAGGAACACCGAUGGCGAAGGCAAUCCCCUGGGCCUGCACUGACGCUCAUGCACGAAAGCGUGGGGAGCAAACAGGAUUAGAUACCCUGGUAGUCCACGCCCUAAACGAUGUCAACUGGUUGUUGGGAAGGUUCCUUCUCAGUAACGUAGCUAACGCGUGAAGUUGACCGCCUGGGGA